rnacentral:rRNA from 1 species
CGGCUCACUCCGGGCGUGAUGCCGGGGGGAAGCGGAGGGUGCGAGCGUUGGCCGUAAUCGCAGGGCGUAAAGGGCGCGGAGGCGGCUUGAUAAUUCACGUGUGAAAUCCCGUUGCUCAACGACGGUGCCGCAGGUGAGACUGUCUGGCUGGAGCUUGGUAGGGGCGAGUGGAAUUCCCGGUGUAGCGGUGGAAUGCGUAGAGAUCGGGAAGAACACCGGUGGCGAAGGCGGCUCGCUGGGCCAAUGCUGACGCUGAUGCGCGAAAGCGUGGGGAGCAAACAGGAUUAGAUACCCCUGAGUC